rnacentral:rRNA from 1 species
CCAGACUCCUACGGGAGGCAGCAGUAGGGAAUCUUCGGCAAUGGACGAAAGUCUGACCGAGCAGCGCCGCGUGAGUGAAGAAGGUUUUCGGAUCGUAAAACUCUGUUGGUAGAGAAGAACGUUGGUGAGAGUGGAAAGCUCAUCAAGUGACGGUAACUACCCAGAAAGGGACGGCUAACUACGUGCCAGCAGCCGCGGUAAUACGUAGGUCCCGAGCGUUGUCCGGAUUUAUUGGGCGUAAAGCGAGCGCAGGUGGUUUAUUAAGUCUGGUGUAAAAGGCAGUGGCUCAAUCAUUGUAUGCAUUGGAAACUGGUAGACUUGAGUGCAGGAGAGGAGAGUGGAAUUCCAUGUGUAGCGGUGAAAUGCGUAGAUAUAUGGAGGAACACCGGUGGCGAAAGCGGCUCUCUGGCCUGUAACUGACACUGAGGCUCGAAAGCGUGGGGAGCAAACAGGAUUAGAUACCCUGGUAGUCCACGCCGUAAACGAUGAGUGCUAGAUGUAGGGAGCUAUAAGUUCUCUGUAUCGCAGCUAACGCAAUAAGCACUCCGCCUGGGGAGUACGACCGCAAGGUUGAAACUCAAAGGAAUUGACGGGGGCCCGCACAAG